rnacentral:lncRNA from 1 species
UGAUUUUUCAGAUUCUUAUAAAAUAACUAAUUUACUACUUAAUUUAAAAAUGUAAAGUUAAACCCUAAAUGCAAAUGCAGCAUAUUUUUGUAUUUUUUCAUUAAUUAAAUAAGAUAAACAUGCACAGACAAAUGCAAACAAUUGACAGAAAAUGCCACAAAAAUCCACGAAAUGGCAAACAAUGGAAAAAAAUUAUUUUGUUUUGAAUUUGUGGGAGUAAUUCAUAUAGGGCAAAAAUCACGUGCUCGCAGCUGCCCUUCUUUGCACAGAAACACGAAGAGUUUUCGUGCAAAGAUAAAGUGAGCGGAUACGAGCGAUUUUUGCCCGUUUGAAUACUUCGUGGGAAGCAUUUUUGAAAGAUUUGACCGCACCGUGCUCCAGAAGUUGUCUACAUAUCCUUGGCUAUAAAGGAAUCAGGUCAGUGUAGUUCGGAAAGUUUUGGUAGCUGGGACUACCAUGAAGCUGUGAUUUCACUGUUGCUGCUGCUGAUGCUACUGCUUACUGAACUCCUUAUUACACCAUGACAAAAUAAAACAAGCUAUACUAAACUAUGAUAUAUGCAUUACCAUAAUCCUAUCUAUAUCUUCAAACUUGAUCUUGCAGUUACUGUUUCUUUGUCGUCCCGUACUAUCCACGUGAAAUUCCUUUGUUGCUAACUUGAAUUGUAUUCUGAGAUGCUUUUCCUUUUCUCUAGGUGGAUGCUUGACUGCUGAACUUGACCGUCUUCCUUCGAACAUUGCUUCUUUCCCUUCGUUCUUCAGGCGGGCUCCUGAUUAUCAACACUUAAAUUGCAGCUUUGUUCUCUAGGUGGGUUCCUGAUUACCGACACUUGAAUUGCUUUAUUCUACAGAUGGGCUCCUGAUUGCUGAACUUGAACUAUAUUCCCGUGCUCUCCAGGUGGGCGCCUGAUUGCUGAACUUGAAUUGUAUUCCCGUGGUCUCCAGGUGGGCGCCUGACUGCUGAACUCGAAUUGUAUUCCCGUGCUCUCCAUGUGGGCGCCUGAUUGAUGAACUUAAAUUGUAUUCCCGUGCUCUCCAAGUGGGCGCCUGAUUGCUGAACUCGAACUACUUCUCCCUGUUCUCCAAGUGGGCGCUUGAUUUCAACAAAAUAGACAAAACAAAGAAAAUUUUCUGCCCCAGUAUGGUAGCUGGGCACAUCUGUGAGUGUUAAACUGAAUCAUGUUACCAAACAUUAUCAAGAAUUUGAAAGCUAGAUCCCGUUAUCCAGGAGGGUCCUGAUAACUCCUAUUUAAAUGACAAUUUUAAAGCUAAAUUAUGUCUUCUGAAGGAAUGUCUUAUGCUAAGUCUUGUUAUCCAAGCAAGUUUUAAAACUACAUCCCAUUAUCCAGGAGGGUCCUGAAAACUCCUAAUUGAGUCCUAUCUUAAACAUGCAAACUUUGAAGCCAACUUAUAUUCCUUUGGGGUACAUUUAUGAUAGAUUAUGAUACUCAUGAUUGUUUUGAAUUUUAAACUAGGUCCCAUUUUCUAGGAGGGUCCUGAAAAUUUAUGGUCAAACAUGUUUGGUGCUUGCUUUUCCUUACGGAGGGUUUGUUCGAAACAAACGAAAUUUUCUUCCACUGUUUCAAUCAAAGAAAAAUCUUAUUAUUUUAAAAUGCGGUGGUUGGUUUAUGGCCUUGACUUUGAGGGCGAUUGCUCCUCCACUUCCCAUGAUAACUUUGAAUUCCACUCGAAGACCUUGCUAACCACUUUCUAUGUCAUACUUAUCACAGAAAAUACCUCUUCUUCAUUCAGACCCAAUACCCUAUAUCUGUUGCAUUGCUCAUAAACUGACAUUUACCAAACCUUUGUAUCUCACAUGAAUGCCAAAGCACGUCAAUUGCCACCCACUCAGUGCGUAUGCUGUUCUUUCUUGACUUAAACCACUGGCCUUGGCCUUGAGGUCUAUUGCACCUUCACUUGCCAUGUUCGCUUUGAUUUCUGCUUGGAAGAACUUGCCUGUCACUAGUUAGCCACUUUCUUUGUCAAUCUAAUCACAGAGAAUACCUUUUAUCUGUUCACCCUAACCCUCCAUCCGUUGCAUUGUUCAAGAAUUGAUAUAUACCAAGCCUUUGUAUUUCACAAGAAUCCCAAAGCAUGUUGAUUGUUACAAACUCAGUGCGCUUGCUGUUCUUUCCUAACUUAUGCUACUUUGAUGUGCCAGCCAGAUCUUGUUUUGUGCAAUUGGAAAGCUGGUGGCAANNNNNNNNNNNNNNNNNNNNNNNNNUUUUGACCAAACAGACUCAGGAAGAGGAAGUAAACAAGACAAAAGGAACAGAGUAAAGGACAAAGGAAAGAGGUGAUUCCUAACAAGUAAACAACAAAGUAGAAACCUAUCAGAUGUGGAUACCAACUCUAAUGACCAUGACAUGCACCUGUGGCCUAUUCUGUUGAGCAAGUCUGAUGUUCAACUCCUGUCAUACCCCUAAACCGUGAAACUGGGCUUCAAUGCUCCGAUUACCCAAUAUGAUUCAUAAUCCUUAUUCGACUUGUAGUGCCCGAAGAGUUUUUACCAUCAAGCCUCUCUAAUUUUGUUCUUUCUCUCAACUUACCGUCGCCUUACGGUACUAGUGAGGGUUUUCACCAAUAAGACUCUCAUUUUUGAUUUCCCUCAACUCCCGUCGCCUUACGGUGCCCGUGAGGGUUUUAACCAUUAAGACUCUCUCAUUUUCAUUACUUUUCUGCCUGGACCAGAGUGUUGCUCCUGAUAUGAAUUACUUCUCCUUGCUUGACUUGACAUCUCUCGAAGAUUGAUCGGAAGGUCUUUCUUUGGACCGUAACGUGGGCUUUUGGAUAUGAUUAAAAAGAAAGGAUAUCAAAGGCUCAAAACAAUUCACAUGGGUUAAAAAUUACAACUUUUGGAAUCAGAUUUCUUACAACAACCACAACUUCUAUCCUAGUUUCUUGCUUGGGGACUUUUGGAUUUUUAUUUUGAUGGGACCGAACCGUGAGGCUGCCUACGUAUCCUUAAAAGGAAUCAGGUCGAACGUAGUUCAUGUCAUAUGAAUUGCUUUGUUGUUGUGAUUUUUUUUUCUCUUUCUCUUUUAUUUUCUUUUCUUUCUUCCUUUUUCUCUUUUUGUUGUUUUGUUGGUUUUUCUUUAUUCUUUUUCCUUUUUUCGUCUUUUUUUUUUCUUCUUUCUUUUUUUCCAAUUUUCAUAUUUUCUUUUCUCUCUUUUCCUUUACUUAUCUUUCGCGCUUGCGUUUCUGAUCUUUGCUACCGAUUCCAAAAGAGGGGUACGAAAGGUAGUAAAUAAGGCACAAAUGGGGUAACAAAGGAUAAAGUGUUUAUAUAGCAGAACAAAAUGACUUCGUCAUUCUAAUCUUCAAAGCAUGCCAGAUGCAAACGGCACAAUAAAACAAACCAAAGAAAUCACACAUAAUAUCUUUUGACUGCAUCAGAAUUGAUAGCCAUAUCCACACAUUUGCCUUCUACAUUUGUUAAGUACAAAGCACCAUUGGACAACACUCUCACUCUCAUUACCACUAACGGCUCCUGUCAAUUUGGGCAAACUUGUCUUUAGCUUCAAUCCAAUGCGGCAUGAUGCAUUUCAAUAGGGUUUCUUUAUGUUCUAUCUGCCUCAGUUUCACACAAUUCGGGCUUGAACUGAUCUCAACAUGCCUUUACUUAUUUCCCUGAAAUGUCCCUACAUCUUCAACAUUGUUCCACUGCUUCGUGAUUAAAUUAACUUUUAAAAUCGGGAUGAGAAUUACGCAUGCAUGUCAUGUCACUAGAGUCAACAGGAAAAGAACUAUAAAAAGAAAAUAGAACUAAACGAAAAUGACUAGAAAUCACAGAAAAUAGAAAAUUGCAUUAGACAGAUGGUGAAAGGGUUUGGACAACAAAACAAACAAACUAAAUGGGGGUUACAAACCUAGAACAAAACUAGACAACACUAAACGGGCUACUACAACUAAACAAACUACGCAAAAUAAAAGGAUAGAAGGGUUUGAGUCACAAGACAAUAUCCGGACUACAACCCUUAAAUAACCCGGACAGCAGAAAUGACAACAAAAUAAACCACCAAAACUCCUCCCUGGCUAACCAAGAAAAAAGCGUCUUUCCAAUCAUCGAAAUUAACAUCUUAGCCACUGACUUCUGCAUCAACAAUACUAGGACCUUCACAAGUCUCCAUCACAUUGUUCUUAACAGAUUGCCUUUGGGUUCCCUUUGCCUGCUCGUUCUUAGGAUCAACCUCUAAUAGCGCUGAAAGCUUCGUAGCACGUGGACCUCCGAGGAUCCCAGAAGAAUUCUCACAUUCCUUUCAAAAAUAUAUCUUACCCACCAUAUGCGUCUCAUUAUGCACAAGUGACGGACUUUGACUAGUGUCUACUGCAUCUGGAUUUUGCACGAUAAUGUCCCUUGCAUCAAUAAGCUUCUGAAUCGCAUUCUUCAGAUUCCAAUACUUCUCUAUGUCAUUCCCCGGGGCAUAUGAGCAAUAUGCACACCUUUGAGAAAAAUCAAACUUCUUUGUAAGAGGAUUUGGCAUUUUUAUCUGGAUCGGCUUCAACAUGUCCAAUUUCCUUAGCCUCUAGAACAGACUAGCAUAUGACUCUCCAAAUGGAGUGAAGGUUUUUUUCUUCCGCAACCUCUCAUUCUUAAAUGCUUGAUUGGGAUGUAAACAUUAUCCAAGGGGGUUUCAGUAAGCUCGUGGGGGCGGGUAAGACAUUUGGGGAAAUGGUGUGGGCCAUCACGGUCCUUAUGGGUGUGGAGCAUAUGGUGGUGCAUUGUGGACAGGGUACUGGGAAAGUGAUGUACAACUUUGGGAGUUUUGUGAAGAGAAGUAGCAUUGGGGAGGCUCAUCUGGUGCACAAGGAUAUCCACGGGGACGAUGUCGAGGUUGGAAGUGUUGAGCAAGAAAGCCCAUCGGAUCAUCUUUUCUAUUUCUCUUUCUUCCACCCAAACUUACUGGGAUGUUCUGAAUGCCUUUCGUAGUAUCUUUCAAUGCCGAAUAACUCAUGAUUUUGCCUGACUUGAUUCCCUCUUCUACCAUCUCCCCCAUUAUUAACACAUCAUUGAAAGGCUUACCCAAGGCCGGGAUCAAAUGACUGAAGUAGGUGGGCCCCUGGGCUUGUAGGAAAAACUCAACCAUUUCUUUUUCACCAAUCGGGGGACUGACUUGAGCAGCUUGCUCCCUCCAUCUGAGCCCAAACUCCCUAAAGCUUUCCUCCAGCUUUUUUUUCAUUCUAGAUAGUGAAGAGCGGUCUGGGGUAACGCCUAAUUUGUAUUGAAAGUAUCGAAUAAAAUCUUGAGCCAUGUCACCCAAUGUAGGCCAAUUACCAACAUCUUGAUGAUUGUGCCAUUCCAAAGCUGCCCCAGUCAAGCUCUCACCAAAAUACGCCAUCAACAAAUCAUCUUUCUCGCCAUCACUUAUCAUUUUACUACAAAAGACCCUCAAAUGGGCUACCGGAUCCCCACGCCCAUCCUACAAGUUAAAUUUUGGCACUUUAAAUCCCAUGGAAAGGCAAACGUCAGGGGACACAGACAGUUCUUUAUAAGCCAUGCUACCCUAGUCUCCCAUUCCUCGCUUGUUCUCUAAGGACUGUCCUAUGCCUUUUAGCCUCCUGGGUAUCCCAUCUCGCCCUUCUCUUCCUGUGAACUUUUCAUUUUCAACGUGAGGCUCAUCCCGAAGGCCCUACUUGUAUGAGUUGGGGACCUUGUGGGCAACCUCUGAGGGAUAAUGUUGGGCAUAAUGAGCUUUGAGUUGGUGUUCAAUGUUGGGGAUAGUGCAUGUUAUAGGAGUGCACUUUUGGGAAAAGAUAGUUGGAAGACGAGUGAUGGAGCUACUAGGGUGGCUGGGAAAGCUGUGAUAAGCGGGUGGAUCUGGAGAGUAUGGAGGAUCAUCUGACAUUGGGUUCGGAGUUUGGGUAAGGGCAACAUCUAGGAAGCUAGGUGGUGGCGGGGGUGGUGCCUUCCCAGUCAUCCAAGCCUGAUACAUGUCCGCCAUUUGUUGUCUAAACAUAUUUACCUCUUCAACCAACUCAUUGUCCUAUUCAAACAACUGCUUCCGGGCACCGGUAUCAACCAACUCAGUUCUGUUGUUGUCUGCCAUUGCCUUUUGACUUUAUGUUUUAAAGAAGAGUUACCACUUUAAAAACCACAAACCAACCAACUUUCUGCUAUGAAUAUAACUAAAUAAAGCCAUCACGUUAUCGUUAGGGCAUUUAACAUAAGAUAAUCUCACGUUAUGUGCAAUGCACCUAGCCACAGUUAUCGGUUCUAAAGUGACUUUGAGGGUACGAAGGUCAGUUGGCAUCAUCCCAUUUUGUUCAUUUCAAUCCCCUCUUUUCUUUGCUUUUCUAUCACUUUCUUGAUCAUUUUCCUUCCUCUUUUUCUAAUUACACUAUUUUCUUUCCUUCAUUUCUCACAUCCCACAAUUUCAUCUCUUUUUUUUUUCUCUCUUUUCUCCUUUUUUUCUUUUCUUUUAAUAGUAAAAAAAUGAUUCGAUCGAACCCUAUGUAGGUUUCUUACGCAUCAUGACGCCGCAUGAAUCAAAUCUCUGUGUAGUUCUGGAAGAACGGGAAUAAAGUAAACAAACUAACGUUCUUUUUUCUUUUCUAAUUUUCUUUUACCUUAAGGACUACUCUGAUGAGAAGAGAGAAAUAAAAGAAGCAAAUCCNNNNNNNNNNNNNNNNNNNNNNNNNUUAACGAGCAUAUAUUUCUUACUUUUUUUCUUUUUGAAACAAACACUCUAUGGGAAAUUAUUAAGGAAAACCCUAGAAGAGAAAAAAACAUUUUUGAUUCUUUUUUUUAGGAAGAAGAUCGAAAGAAUAAACCAUAUAAAAAUAUUUUGAAUUCUCAUUUGAUAUCCUGAUGCAGGAUUUUGAAACAAGCAAUGAAAAAGAUAAAACAACAUGUUUUUGGAUUUCAAUUUGGUUGCCUAAAGAAAGAAACUUUAAACAAAAGAUAAAAUAUGUUUUUUUUCUAUGUACAAUUUCCUAAAGUUCUUGGGAAAAUAAAAGAAUAUUUUUUUUCAUUUUUCAUUAAGUUCCCAAAGAAGAACCUCAAAAGAAAAUCUUUUUGGAUUUUUGAGAUUAAUGCCUUAAAGAAAACUUUUAAAAAAGUACUAAAAGGAAUUGUUUUUUGAAUUUUGGUCAUAAUAUAGUAAAGGAAAUAUAAAAAUAAUUUUUAUUAAAAUCCUAGAUAUUAUUUUCCUAAAGGAAAAACCACCUCAAAAAUAUCUUUUUUCAUUCCUACAAUUAGUAUUCUAAAGAAAAUUCCUAACGGAAAUAUAAAACACAAUAUUUUAAUUUUUUUUUUGGAUUUUUGAUUCAUUACACACCCUUUCAAAUGCAAAAUAGAAAGUAAAAUAAUAAUAAUAAAGCUCGACAUUACUAUACAAAACUAAAAGGUAAAAGACGAUAUAAAAUAAAAAAAACAGGCUCAAAACAUAAAAAGAAAAGAAAAUCUUCUUUUAAUCCACUCCCAAAUGAGCGAUCCUGACUAGAUGUCCUAGGGCUCUGUCAUGCUCAAACUCCGAUAAGUAAAUCCACGUCUGUAUGAGAAAAUUAAAACCAAAUAUGUUAAAGACCUAGAGCGCUAUGUGAGACAAUAACCCUUCCUACUGGAAACAUGCAAGACAUGAUUUAGGCUAUUUUUGCAAAAUGACAUAUUUGGCCAAAAGACAGCUAGAAGUGCAAAAUUUUGGCUAAGACCCCGCAAAGCCAAGAACCUAAGAUUUACUAGGAAGACCGGACCCUAUGUGGGUUGCCUACGUAUCACGCCCCGAAAGACGAGAAUCAGGUAUGCGUAGUUGAGGCAGAUUGGAUACGGGCGAGAAUUAAAAAAAAACAACUAAUUUAGAGAAAACAUAUUUUUUGUCUUCUUUUUUUUUAAAAGAAAAAUGAUGAGACAAGUAGAUUUUUUUGGAUUUUUUCUUUUUCUUUUUUUUUGAUUUUCUGAUUUACGGAAAAUGAUGAAAAAGUGCAAAAUCUCUUUUUUUUUUGAAUUUUCAAGCUCUUUUUUUUCUCUUAACAAGAAUGUGACAGAAAAUAUAAUCGGGCCCCACUCGCUUUAUCUUCACACUUCAACAUCUUUUUCUUUUUCUUUUUUCUUUUUCAUUUGCCCUCAACUAUUAUUGGUCCGCCAAAUGACCCUUUUACCCUUAAAGAAAUGCAACAUGUAGCACAUAGGAUGCAUCAAGAUGGUCUGUUAUUUUGAGNNNNNNNNNNNNNNNNNNNNNNNNNCUAGGUUCAAAACCUGGGUAUGUGUUCUAGAAUGUGUACCCGAGCGGACAACUCGAGUCGAGGAGGGGGCUACGAAUCGGGAACCAAAAGGCCAUCCAGCUUAGUAACUUGUCCGAACCUCUUUCUUAUUUCAAGGUAUGACACUAACAGAAUAGGGAGUCACAACCAGCGUGCACAUCCCCAAAGAUGAGAAGAGAAGGUUUCGUAGCAGUUUAUAUACGGUUCAGAUAAUAUCAAAGCAGGUAAAAACAACAUUUAGCACAUUAGGCCCAAACAUGUAAUAAAAUCAGAUAACAGAUAAAACAAAAUAUAACAAUUCAUCUAAGCUCGAAUUCUGAACCCUGAACCAGGGAUUUUGGGUUCGAUCCCCAGCAUAGUCGCCAGAGUUAUCACACCUCCUUUUUCACUACACCCCUUGUAAAUGGGGUGUAUAAGGGUGUUUUUUCAAUUUAAGUGACAAUCGAAACGAGAUUUAUUUAUUUAAAGUAUUCAGAGUCGCCACUUGGGAUAAUUUUAUGGUGUACCAAGUCACCGGUUCAAAUCCCGAAUCGAGGAAAGAAUGACUCUGUAUUAUAGUCCGCGAAUCAGAAAUCCGGGUAAGGAAUUCUGUUAACCCGGGAGAAGGUGUUAGGCAUUCUCGAGUUUCGUGGUUCUAGCACGACCGCUCAACUGUUAUUAUUGGCUUAUUAUUUGACUUUAAACACUUUCAAGCCUAUGUACAUUUCUAACUUUAAACCGCUUUUAAUUCAUUUUAGGAGGAUUUCAACGUUAUACAAAACACAUCUUUGGAUCACGGAAUAUUAAAUGCGCCCGCGAUCCGCGACAUAUUUUAUUAAUUUUGUUAGAAUUUGGAUUUAAGUCACAUGAAAUGCACACCCGACUCUAAGGAAAUUAAUUAUUAAAAUAACGCGGCUAAAGCAACUACGCGUUUGCAACUUUGCGAGGGCCAUGGAAAUUCAACUAGGUGGCACGCCUCGAAUUCUAAGAAUCAAAAAAAAAAAUUAAUUAAACGAGGGCCAUGCAAUUGUCAUUUUUGUUCGGCACAACACACCUCGGUUUAUUCUAAUCAAGAGGUUUCUAAAUUAAAUUACGAGAGUCAUACUAUUUGUAUUGUCUAAUAUAGCACACCUCCAAUCUACUUGUGUUUUUUUUUAUUUCCUAUCCCACUCAAAAAUUCCAAAGACCCAAGCUUAUCUUUUGAUUCAGAAUUUCACACCCAUUACUCUAAUUCCAUUUUAAAAAUACUUGAGUUCACUGCCUAUUUUGAUUUUGAUUUUUCAAUUAUUUCUAGCAACAAAACCAAUGCCGCUAACAAGAAAUCAUCGUCCAUAUAAACAAAAGCAAAACCAAAUUUCAUAUCCACCCUAUCAACCUUGCCAUAUCUUUUGAAAAGCUUUCCUUGGCUUAUGCAUCCAAAUUUACAGUACAUGUCAAUAAGCGAGGAAAUCAAAAAGGCAUUGGAUAUAUUUCCAAUAUUAAUCACUUGCGCAUGGGAUACUUCUUUGGUCAAGCACAACGAAAAUACCUCUUAGAACAACCAAAAUGACGAUUUUAGAGUAUGAAUGACAUGUUGGAUAGUACAGCUAACAAUGCUAAAUUAUGCUCUCAAGGAGAAAAUCUGAUCUAAGAAACCAUGGAAACAAACAGUGGCAUGUAGCUCCUUAAACAUUCGGAUAAUUUGUCUUUCACUUAGAAAUCUAAAAAAAUCGAAAGAUCUUCACAAUUUGGUUACAUAUAUAAAUCAGUUGAAGGAAAGCAAAUUAACAAUGCUGAAAAUCCCAUUUCUCUAAAAAUUGUGAAGUAUCAAACUCUAUGUCAUCCUUAAGAUCGACUCGGAAUCGUAUUUGCCAAAAAUGAAGAUUUUAUAUAUAACUUCCCAAUAACUUUUCAAUUAACAUGAAGCAGAAUCUUAACAUUAAAGGGUCGGGAUAUGAAGACAGCUCAAACAGCAAAAUCCAGUUAGAUAGGGAAUCUGCCACGACAAACUUGAAUUAACCUUUCGAACACUGUUAGCAUUUACAAUAUUUCGAAAUCAGGCAACUCAUUCAACAUUGUUCACAAAUAAAAUCAGAAAAAUGGCAAAUCAAGGAACUUCUCAUUAAAACAGAUCUUAGAAUAGCUUGAAAGAGAACGUACCUAAUUACGCAAGGACGAGAUUUAGAAGACAAAGAAGCCAAAUAACGAUUGAAACAAAAAAUUGGAGCUCAGCUAGCAACGUGGGAGCAACAGCAGCCAAACAACUCCCCUUUCCGAGUUAUAUCAAAACCCAAAACCCAGCUAAGCACUCCAAUUUCGAGCUUUUCGAGUGAUGAAAAAGUUCUUUGAAGGCUCAGCUCUCCAAUUGAAUUUUUAAGCUACUUUCAAUUCUCAACAGCUUUUCGUUACUGUAUUUUUUGAGAGAAAUGUAGUGUAAUAUGAAGAGAGAUUUGUGUGCUCGAGAGAAAAGCAAAAGAAGCGGCUGAGUUUUUCGUUUUGAUGAGGAAGAAGAUCAAGAUCCAAAGGAGUCCUUCUGCGCCGUUCUUCUAUAUGCGUCCCUCUCUCAUUUUUUAGCUCCCCUUCUAAUAAUGUGUAUUUAGG